ACGCCGCACCGCUGAGAUCCGACGCAGCGCAGCCGGAUCGUUCGUCAGCCAGCCGCCGCGCCGACGGGAAUCCAGCAGCUAAGCCUCGCGCGCCGCCAGCCGUCGAACCCGAACCCGGAGCCGCUCCGCAUCCGCGCGCCCUAACCCGAAGCCGAUUUCGCGUGUGAAGCCGCGCCGCGCGCUUCUGCGUAGCCGAGCCGCGUCUCCCCCUGUUGCAAGCCGAGCCGCACGCGUGAACCCCUGUGUCAAAGCCGAGCCGCGCCUGCGCCAAGCCGAGCCGGUCCCUGUCCUCUUCCAGCCGAGCCGCCAAGACCAAUUUGGCUCCAUCCACCUACAUUUUGGGCGUCUUGGACCGAGUGACCGGUGCGGCGAGAGACUCUCUUCAGUAGGGACUCAUCCACUGCAACCUUUUCUGGGGAUCCCGUUGCUUGGAAAGCACACGUGUCUUGCGGUUAGGACUCGUCGGGUGAAUCUCCAGGGAGAAUGCCGCCACGUAGAGGUGCACGCCGAGGAGGUGGUAGGGGAGGCAGAGGUGCCGGUCGUGGCCAGCCGGAGGCGCCACCUGCUGCACCGGCAGUCGACCCAAAUGCACCGGUCACCCAGGCGGAUCUCGCCGCGAUGGAGCGGCGCUAUCAGGACAUGCUGCAAGCUGCUUUGGCGCCUUUCCUAGCCGCCCAGCAGAACCAGGCCGCCCAGCAGAACCAGGCCGCCCAGCAGAACCAGGCCGCCCCUGCUCAGGCCCAAGCCGUUGUUCCUCCAGCCCCUGAGGAAGCUCCACCAGUACCAGUUCAACUGUCGGCCGAGGCGAAAC